ensembl:lncRNA
GUGGUUAUAAGAGUUCAGUGUCUGCUGUUAAAUGUGUAUGCUGUUAAAUGUGUCUGUUUGAGCUCUGGGGUUAAGAAAUAAAGGAAGAAUAAAACUCAACCAAAAACCAAACCAGACCAGACCAGCAGCGAUGAGAAAGACCCUUACAGACCAGACCAGACCAGCAGCAAUGAGAGAGACCCUUACAGACCAGACCAGACCAGCAGCGAUGAGAGAGACCCCUACAGACCAGACCAGCAGCGAUGAGAGAGACCCUUAUAGACCAGACCAGACCAGCAGCUUUGAGAGAGACCCUUCCAGACCAGACCAGACCAGCAGGGAUGAUAGAGAGCCUUACAGACCAGACCAGACCAGCAGGGAUGAUAGAGAGCCUUACAAACCAGACCAGCAGGGAUGAGAGAGACCCUUACAGACCAGACCAGACCAGCAGCAAUGAGAGAGACCCUUACAGACCAGACCAGCAGCGAUGAGAGAGACCCCUACAGACCAGACCAGCAGCGAUGAGAGAGACCCUUAUAGACCAGACCAGACCAGCAGCUUUGAGAGAGACCCUUCCAGACCAGACCAGACCAGCAGGGAUGAUAGAGAGCCUUACAGACCAGACCAGACCAGCAGGGAUGAUAGAGAGCCUUACAAACCAGACCAGCAGGGAUGAGAGAGACCCUUACAGACCAGACCAGACCAGCAGCGAUGAGAGAGACCCUUUCAGACCAGACCAGACCCUUCCAGACCAGACCAGCAGCUUUGAGAGAGACCCUUACAGACCAGACCAGACCAGCAGUGAUGAUAGAGACCCCUACAGACCAGACCAGAAGCUUUGAGAGAGACCCUUAUAGACCAGACCAGACCAGCAGCGAAGAUAGAGACCCCUACAGACCAGACCAGACCAGCAGCGAUGAGAGAGACCCUUCCAGACCAGACCAGACCAGCAGGGAUGAGAGAGACCCUUACAGACCAGACCAGCCCAGACCAGACCAGCAGCGGUGAGAGAGACCCUUACAGACCAGACCAGACCAGCAGCGCAGCGGUGAGAGAGACCCUUACAGACCAGACCAGACCAGCAGCUUUGAGAGAGACCCUUACAGACCAGACCAGCAGCGCCCAGACCAGCAGCAGUGAGAGAGACCCUUACAGACCAGACCAGACCAGCAGGGAUGAGAGAGACCCUUACAGACCAGACCAGCAGCGGUGAGAGAGACCCUUACAGACUAGACCAGACGUGAUGAGAGAGACCCUUCCAGACCAGCAGGGAUGAGAAAGACCCUUACAGACCAGACCAGCAGGGAUGAGAGAGACCCUUACAGACCAGACCAGCGGCUUUGAGAGAGACCCUUACAGACCAGACCAGCAGGGAUGAGAGAGACCCUUACAGACCAGACUAGACCAGCAGCUUUGAGAGAGACCCUUACAGACCAGACCAGACCAGCAGCUUUGAGAGAGACCCUUACAGACCAGACCAGCAGCUUUGAGAGAGACCCUUACAGACCAGACCAGACCAGCAGCUUUGAGAGAGACCCUUCCAGACCAGACCAGACCAGCAGCGAUGAGAAAGA